rnacentral:rRNA from 1 species
UACGAAGGGGGCUAGCGUUGCUCGGAAUCACUGGGCGUAAAGGGUGCGUAGGCGGGUCUUUAAGUCAGGGGUGAAAUCCUGGAGCUCAACUCCAGAACUGCCCUUGAUACUGAAGGUCUUGAGUUCGGGAGAGGUGAGUGGAACUGCGAGUGUAGAGGUGAAAUUCGUAGAUAUUCGCAAGAACACCAGUGGCGAAGGCGGCUCACUGGCCCGGUACUGACGCUGAGGUGCGAAAGCGUGGGGAGCAAACAGG